rnacentral:rRNA from 1 species
GUAAGGAAUAUUGGUCAAUGGAGGCAACUCUGAACCAGCCAUGCCGCGUGCAGGAAGACGGCCCUCUGGGUUGUAAACUGCUUUUAUCCGGGAAUAAACCUGCCUUCGUGAAGGUAGCUGAAUGUACCGGAAGAAUAAGGAUCGGCUAACUCCGUGCCAGCAGCCGCGGUAAUACGGAGGAUCCAAGCGUUAUCCGGAUUUAUUGGGUUUAAAGGGUGCGUAGGAGGCCUGUUAAGUCAGGGGUGAAAGACGGUGGCUCAACCAUCGCAGUGACCUUGAUACUGAUGGGCUUGAAUGGACUAGAGGUAGGCGGAAUGUGACAAGUAGCGGUGAAAUGCAUAGAUAUGUCACAGAACACCGAUUGCGAAGGCAGCUUACUAUGGUCCUAUUGACGCUGAGGCACGAAAGCGUGGGGAUCGAACAGGAUUAGAUACCCUAGUAGUCC